rnacentral:misc_RNA from 1 species
CCAUCGUUCGGGGCAUUCUGGGGCUGUUUUGGCUANUGGUUGCUUGUUUGGUCAGGUACCGAACGGGUGGCUUCUAGUCUGGUGGCUUCGGGGAUGUUGACCGUAAAGGUGGAUGAGUGGUGUUUGGUUUGUUACGUGUGGUUGGCUGCGGCGUUUGCAACAACUUCCAUGCUUUCAGACCUCUUCAGUCGUGCGGCAAGGCUUGUAUCGCCUUGAGCGUAUUGUGGGUUUUCUGUGUUGGCUACCUAAUCAAUGGUAUCGGUUGGAUUGAUCAAUGUUUCAUUUCGUCUACCGUCGCAUUCGCGGCGUGAGAUGAACCUUGAUGCGGUCUCUUUGAUCCACCUCGUCGAAGCGCAUGCUUUGGCGUUGUGGCACAUUGAGCAUUGCUUGGUCUCUUGUAUACGGAACAUAUAGUGGGCAUGGAUCUAACGAUUCUCGUUUGCCCUCAUAUUAGCGUAACGCUUCUCUUACACGACUUGCACCACGUUUUAGCUCGUACGGACGUGGUGCUAUGUCGAAGAGGAUUGCUACCUGGUUGAUCCUGCCAGUA